rnacentral:rRNA from 1 species
UACAGAGGGUGCGAGCGUUAUUCGGAAUUACUGGGCGUAAAGCGCGCGUAGGCGGUUUUGCAAGUCGGGUGUGAAAUCCCCAGGCUUAACCUGGGAACUGCAUUCGAGACUGCAUUGCUAGAGUAUGGGAGAGGGAAGUGGAAUUUCCGGUGUAGCGGUGAAAUGCGUAGAUAUCGGAAGGAACAUCAGUGGCGAAAGCGACUUCCUGGACCAAUACUGACGCUCAUGUGCGAAAGCGUGGGGAGCAAACAGG